AGGUGGAAAACGAGCUACAUACAUCGGUGGGAAAACAACAACAGGAGAGGAGACUAAGAAAUUCAUGAGUAUUUUCCUUUUGUCUUGUUUGUUUAUUCUCAUGGAUAUGAUUAGCUAAUUUUCUAUUAAUUAGGUCAUAGAUGAUUCUGUUCUAGCUCAUGAUCAUGUAAUCUGUAAUUCUGAAUUAUUAAGAAUGUUAUUUCAGUUUAUUCAGUAUAAAUUAUGUGUAAUGCUUUUAUGAUUUU
rnacentral:lncRNA from 1 species